UAGAACAGCCAAGCAGCCUUUCUCAAGGAGAGCUGAAGGUUUGCUGAAGUGGAACUUAUACCCUAAUUUUUUUCCCAGGUUAUUUCACAAUCCAAGAAGCACAAACUCCUGACUUGAAUGAAGGCAACCCAGAUCAUCAAAAAGUCCCAUGGAAAUAUGGAGAGAAUAGUCCCUGCUCAGAAGUCCAGCAAGAACUUAGAUCAGAUUUCCCAAGAAUCUGGGGACUUACCCCAGCGCCACAAUACAUAAAGUCAGUGCCAGUGCCAGGAAAAGAAACUUGAAGUCCUGGCUUCAGCUCUAACUACUCCCAACACAUUUCAUCUUCUGAAAAAGACUAAUAGGAAGAGAAGUGGGAGGAACAUAAAUGUUUAGAUGCUUAAGAAAUCUACGUAGUUCAAGUACACCAUUUUUUAUUAAAACAGAAUGUGCUGUGCUGAUUAGAGGACCUGAAGUCUUUACAUCAUAAUGAAAAUACCAAGAAAUUUAAGAUCAGCAAAAAUGUCAAAACAUUUAAUUUCCAAAGAUGACAAAUCCAAUAUCUUGUUUCAAUCAAAGUAAUUUAACUACCUUAAUGAAACUAUGCAAGAAAAUGGAACCAUUAAAUGAUUAAAGGGAAACUAUACAGACAUUAAAUAAUAGAAUUAAACAAAUUAAACCACAGUUAAAUGAAACUAGAAUAAGAACAAAUUAAAAGUAAACUGCCACUUUUGCAUAUGCACUUUGGCAUAAACGACAUACUUCAUACACGAGAUAACAGCUGCACUUUUCCUUAUACGCUACUUGAGUGUAUCAUUUUAGAAUUUUACUGAAUAUUUUCAUCACUGUUUAAAACAGACAAAAGUUAGGGUAAACUUAUAAGGGAAACAGCAUAACAUCCACAGCGAUUUCCUUUUGGGUAUAACCCUAUGCUUCCGCUCUGUUUCCCCAAAUCAUGUUAAAUUAUUAAAAAUGUUAUACUGUCUUUUCCAUUACAUGUGUGAAACAUGAGGGUCAUGAUUUCCUCCAGUUGUGUUCAGAGACAGUGGUGAGUGACAGCCACAAGAAACAGGUUAUCUCCCUGGGA